rnacentral:snoRNA from 1 species
UGCCUACUGUGUAAAAGACACUGCUACAGUUUAUUCCUGCGGGUGUAUUCAAAGGGCAGUGCAACAGAAAUUCACCGUGUGACAUCAUUGGUUUUCUUGUGGUUGUCAAACCUGAUAUUUCUAAUUAUACAGUC